ACUUGCAGAAGGCCCCGACAAACAACCCUGAUCUGAAUGUGAAGAAGCUGUACUGUGCAUGCUGGACAUUGGGUGCAGCAGCUACAGAGAAUUCAAAUUAAAACUUCUUCUGGAGCUCAGGGCUAGACUCUGCCUAACACACAUUGCUCUUCAGGAGAUGGAAGGUAAAGAAAGCAGCAUGGCUCUGACGUACACUCCUGGCUUUGGACCACAUCUUCGCUUAUAAUUUAUGAACACGGGGACUUGCGACUGGCACAAAAUUAUAUAGAAAAUGCCUACAGGUAGGAUGUGGUUCUAUAUUUGCUAAUAGCUAUUCCAAAAUGCACACAUUCAUCUCCAUCAUGUAGAGUAUGCACCUAAGUGUAGCUGGCAGCAUGGCAGAUUCUAAAGGAAACUGUUAAUUGAAUGCUGCAGAUUCUGAUUAUAUAUCAC
rnacentral:lncRNA from 1 species